rnacentral:rRNA from 1 species
CGAACGGUAACAGGUCUUCGGACGCUGACGAGUGGCGAACGGGUGAGUAAUACAUCGGAACGUGCCCAGUCGUGGGGGAUAACUACUCGAAAGAGUAGCUAAUACCGCAUACGAUCUGAGGAUGAAAGCGGGGGACCUUCGGGCCUCGCGCGAUUGGAGCGGCCGAUGGCAGAUUAGGUAGUUGGUGGGAUAAAAGCUUACCAAGCCGACGAUCUGUAGCUGGUCUGAGAGGACGACCAGCCACACUGGGACUGAGACACGGCCCAGACUCCUACGGGAGGCAGCAGUGGGGAAUUUUGGACAAUGGGCGAAAGCCUGAUCCAGCAAUGCCGCGUGCAGGAUGAAGGCCUUCGGGUUGUAAACUGCUUUUGUACGGAACGAAAAAGCUUCUCCUAAUACGAGAGGCCCAUGACGGUACCGUAAGAAUAAGCACCGGCUAACUACGUGCCAGCAGCCGCGGUAAUACGUAGGGUGCGAGCGUUAAUCGGAAUUACUGGGCGUAAAGCGUGCGCAGGCGGUUAUGUAAGACAGAUGUGAAAUCCCCGGGCUCAACCUGGGAACUGCAUUUGUGACUGCAUGGCUAGAGUACGGUAGAGGGGGAUGGAAUUCCGCGUGUAGCAGUGAAAUGCGUAGAUAUGCGGAGGAACACCGAUGGCGAAGGCAAUCCCCUGGACCUGUACUGACGCUCAUGCACGA